rnacentral:rRNA from 1 species
AAUAAGGGACUUUUUGGUUUUGUAUUGGAAUGAGUUAAGUAUAAACCCCUUUACAAGUAUCAAUUGGAGGGCAAGUCUGGUGCCAGCAGCCGCGGUAAUUCCAGCUCCAAUAGCGUAUAUUAAAGUUGUUGCAGUUAAAAAGCUCGUAGUUGGAUUUCUGUUAAUAAUUUAUAUAAAAUAUUUUGAUGAAUAUUUAUAUAAUAUUAACAUAAUUCAUAUUACUAUAUAUUUUAGUAUAUGAAAUUUUACUUUGAGAAAAUUAGAGUGCUUAAAGCAGGCAUAUGCCUUGAAUACUCCAGCAUGGAAUAAUAUUAAAGAUUUUUAUCUUUCUUAUUGGUUCUAAGAUAAGAAUAAUGAUUAAUAGGGACAGUUGGGGGCAUUUGUAUUUAACAGUCAGAGGUGAAAUUCUUAGAUUUGUUAAAGACAAACUAAUGCGAAAGCAUUUGCCAAGGAUGUUUUCAUUAAUCAAGAACGAAAGUUAGGGGAUCGAAGACGAUCAGAUACCGUCGUAGUCUUAACCAUAAACUAUGCCAACUAGAGAUUGGAGGUUGUUCUUACUUCCUUGAAAAA